CGUACUAACGUCAUUAGCGAAACCAUAACACUGUUGUAGCACCCGAGUACAAUAAUAUAAUUUUUUUAUUAUUAUAUUAAAUUGCGUGAAAUGAUCUGUCUGACAUAUUGUGUAUAAGUUGCAAUACUCUGGAUUUAUCUGCGUUAUUUUGUUUAAACCCAACAGCAUGACCUCGUUGCUGAUUUUACCGAGACGGUGUACUAUAAAUAUCAAAAGUAAUGGAGGAAUAUUCACAGGCAAAGGUCUAUCAAGGAUUCACUUUGCCCACAGGAAGUUUGUCCCUGUUCAGAAGCUGGACUUGGACGGACAUGGACACUCAGGUGUUUUGGGAUGUUGGAGAAGCUUCCUUAGAGGGUUUUUUGGAGGAGGCCAUGAUGGCACCAAAGAGAAGAUGACUUUAGAGGACAUUGCGAAAGGAAUCAGAGAUCGAGAGUUUAAACGGAUAGUGGUGAUGGCCGGAGCUGGGAUUAGUACUCCAAGUGGAAUUCCAGAUUUCAGAUCACCUGGAAGUGGCCUUUACAACAACCUCCAAAAGUAUAACCUCCCCUACGCUGAGGCCAUAUUUGAGAUUAACUAUUUCCAUUACAACCCUCAACCUUUCUUUGCAUUGGCUAAAGAGUUGUAUCCAGGGAAUUAUCGUCCCAAUCUGACGCACUACUUCAUCCGGCUACUUCAUGACAAAGGCCAGCUGCUCAGGAUGUACACUCAAAACAUCGAUGGACUGGAGAGAAUGGCAGGAAUUCCAGCUAAGAAGUUAGUGGAGGCACACGGGACAUUUGCGACAGCCACAUGCACAGUUUGUCGCAGAGAAUACCAAGGUGAAGAGCUGCGUAGCGAUAUAAUGGAAGGAACAGUUCCUCACUGCUCUCAGUGUAAAGGAGUCAUUAAGCCUGACAUUGUGUUUUUUGGUGAAGAGCUGCCUCAGCACUUUUUCCUCUACCUCACCGACUUCCCCAUGGCAGACUUACUGAUUGUAAUGGGAACAUCUUUAGAGGUGGAGCCGUUUGCCAGUUUAUCCGGAGCUGUGCGAGGUUCUGUGUCUCGCCUCCUUAUAAAUCGUGAUCUGGUGGGACCCUUUGCCCGGGGCUCUUCACGGCACAAUGACGUGGCAGAGCUGGGUGAUGUAGUGAGCGGCGUGAGGAAACUGGCAGACGCUUUGGGCUGGAUGCCUGAGCUGGAAGCUCUUAUGGCUGAUGAAGGCCAGAAGGUCAGUGAUGCUGAAUAAUAUUGGAUAUUUAACCGAAUUUACAUGUGCAGAUUUGAAGGAUAUAAGUGAACAAUGGUCGAACACCAGUCUACAUGAAUCCCAGAAGUACCAAAGAGACACCGGUGGGCUAGCUUCAAAGAUGAGAGAGGAAUGACUAUCCGGACGUGAGAGACCAGCUUCAUUUGUCGCAUCCUCUCAGUCAUUUUGUGGCUGUGAUGUGUUUCGGCUCGACGUCCAUGGCACGUUAACAACCUUGAUGGAGUCAAACUGUAAUGAACAUGGCACUAGGAGGCUCGGCUCUCUGCAUUAGUCUUGUGACUGUUUUACAGUCUCGGAGUUCAUAUGUAAUUAUUAAUGAUAUGAACGAUGAGCUGUUUAAAUGUGACAUUGUUUUCAGGUGACUUAAGAUUUUUCUCCCUAUUUAUUAAUAUUAAUAUUAAAAUCUUUAAAAGUU